rnacentral:rRNA from 1 species
CGUACACUCCUGCGGGAGGCAGCAGUGGGGAAUAUUGCACAAUGGGCGCAAGCCUGAUGCAGCCAUGCCGCGUGUAUGAAGAAGGCCUUCGGGUUGUAAAGUACUUUCAGCGGGGAGGAAGGCGAUAAGGUUAAUAACCUUGUCGAUUGACGUUACCCGCAGAAGAAGCACCGGCUAACUCCGUGCCAGCAGCCGCGGUAAUACGGAGGGUGCAAGCGUUAAUCGGAAUUACUGGGCGUAAAGCGCACGCAGGCGGUCUGUCAAGUCGGAUGUGAAAUCCCCGGGCUCAACCUGGGAACUGCAUUCGAAACUGGCAGGCUAGAGUCUUGUAGAGGGGGGUAGAAUUCCAGGUGUAGCGGUGAAAUGCGUAGAGAUCUGGAGGAAUACCGGUGGCGAAGGCGGCCCCCUGGACAAAGACUGACGCUCAGGUGCGAAAGCGUGGGGAGCAAACAGGAUUAGAUACCCCGGUAGUCC